CUGCAUGCAUCUUUGGACCUGACAGCUGUGGUCAUCUCUCUUCCAAGCCCCAGAAGAGCAUAUGCUUGUCUAUUGGCAAAGCCAUGGCCAUUUCAUGGGCAUCACACACUGACUGGCACAAGCAGCAUCC